rnacentral:rRNA from 1 species
UGGGGAAUUUUGGACAAUGGGGGCAACCCUGAUCCAGCAAUGCCGCGUGUGUGAAGAAGGCCUUCGGGUUGUAAAGCACUUUUGUCCGGAAAGAAAACUUCGGGGCUAAUACCCCUGGAGGAUGACGGUACCGGAAGAAUAAGCACCGGCUAACUACGUGCCAGCAGCCGCGGUAAUACGUAGGGUGCGAGCGUUAAUCGGAAUUACUGGGCGUAAAGCGUGCGCAGGCGGUGCUGUAAGACCGAUGUGAAAUCCCCGGGCUUAACCUGGGACCUGCAUUGGUGACUGCAGCGCUGGAGUAUGGCAGAGGGGGGUGGAAUUCCACGUUUAGCAGUGAAAUGCGUAGAGAUGUGGAGGAAAACCGAUGGCGAAGGCAGCCCCCUGCGCCAAUACUAACGCUCAUGCACGAAAGCGUGGGGAGCAAACAGG